rnacentral:rRNA from 1 species
UACAGAGGGGGCGAGCGUUGUUCGGAAUUACUGGGCGUAAAGGGCGCGUAGGCGGUCAGCACAAGUCAGUUGUGAAAUCUCCGGGCUUAACUCGGAAAGGUCAACUGAUACUGUGCGACUAGAGUGCGGAAGGGGCAACUGGAAUUCUCGGUGUAGCGGUGAAAUGCGUAGAUAUCGAGAGGAACACCUGCGGCGAAGGCGGGUUGCUGGGCCGACACUGACGCUGAUGCGCGAAAGCCAGGGGAGCGAACGGG